AGCGAACGCUGGCGGCAGGCCUAACACAUGCAAGUCGAACGAACCUUUCGGGGUUAGUGGCGGACGGGUGAGUAACACGUGGGAACGUGCCUUUAGGUUCGGAAUAACUCAGGGAAACUUGUGCUAAUACCGAAUGUGCCCUUCGGGGGAAAGAUUUAUCGCCUUUAGAGCGGCCCGCGUCUGAUUAGCUAGUUGGUUGAGGUAAUGGCUCACCAAGGCGACGAUCAGUAGCUGGUCUGAGAGGAUGAUCAGCCACAUUGGGACUGAGACACGGCCCAAACUCCUACGGGAGGCAGCAGUGGGGAAUCUUGCGCAAUGGGCGAAAGCCUGACGCAGCCAUGCCGCGUGAAUGAUGAAGGUCUUAGGAUUGUAAAAUUCUUUCACCGGGGACGAUAAUGACGGUACCCGGAGAAGGAGCCCCGGCUAACUUCGUG
rnacentral:rRNA from 1 species